AAAUUGAAGAGUUUGAUCAUGGCUCAGAUUGAACGCUGGCGGCAGGCCUAACACAUGCAAGUCGAACGGUAACAGGAAGAAGCUUGCUUCUUUGCUGACGAGUGGCGGACGGGUGAGUAAUGUCUGGGAAACUGCCUGAUGGAGGGGGAUAACUACUGGAAACGGUAGCUAAUACCGCAUAAUGUCGCAAGACCAAAGAGGGGGACCUUCGGGCCUCUUGCCAUCGGAUGUGCCCAGAUGGGAUUAGCUAGUAGGUGGGGUAACGGCUCACCUAGGCGACGAUCCCUAGCUGGUCUGAGAGGAUGACCAGCCACACUGGAACUGAGACACGGUCCAGACUCCUACGGGAGGCAGCAGUGGGGAAUAUUGCACAAUGGGCGCAAGCCUGAUGCAGCCAUGCCGCGUGUAUGAAGAAGGCCUUCGGGUUGUAAAGUACUUUCAGCGGGGAGGAAGGGAGUAAAGUUAAUACCUUUGCUCAUUGACGUUACCCGCAGAAGAAGCACCGGCUAACUCCGUGCCAGCAGCCGCGGUAAUACGGAGGGUGCAAGCGUUAAUCGGAAUUACUGGGCGUAAAGCGCACGCAGGCGGUUUGUUAAGUCAGAUGUGAAAUCCCCGGGCUCAACCUGGGAACUGCAUCUGAUACUGGCAAGCUUGAGUCUCGUAGAGGGGGGGUAGAAUUCCAGGUGUAGCGGUGAAAUGCGUAGAGAUCUGGAGGAAUACCGGUGGCGAAGGCGGCCCCCUGGACGAAGACUGACGCUCAGGUGCGAAAGCGUGGGGAGCAAACAGGAUUAGAUACCCUGGUAGUCCACGCCGUAAACGAUGUCGACUUGGAGGUUGUGCCCUUGAGGCGUGGCUUCCGGAGCUAACGCGUUAAGUCGACCGCCUGGGGAGUACGGCCGCAAGGUUAAAACUCAAAUGAAUUGACGGGGGCCCGCACAAGCGGUGGAGCAUGUGGUUUAAUUCGAUGCAACGCGAAGAACCUUACCUGGUCUUGACAUCCACGGAAGUUUUCAGAGAUGAGAAUGUGCCUUCGGGAACCGUGAGACAGGUGCUGCAUGGCUGUCGUCAGCUCGUGUUGUGAAAUGUUGGGUUAAGUCCCGCAACGAGCGCAACCCUUAUCCUUUGUUGCCAGCGGUCCGGCCGGGAACUCAAAGGAGACUGCCAGUGAUAAACUGGAGGAAGGUGGGGAUGACGUCAAGUCAUCAUGGCCCUUACGACCAGGGCUACACACGUGCUACAAUGGCGCAUACAAAGAGAAGCGACCUCGCGAGAGCAAGCGGACCUCAUAAAGUGCGUCGUAGUCCGGAUUGGAGUCUGCAACUCGACUCCAUGAAGUCGGAAUCGCUAGUAAUCGUGGAUCAGAAUGCCACGGUGAAUACGUUCCCGGGCCUUGUACACACCGCCCGUCACACCAUGGGAGUGGGUUGCAAAAGAAGUAGGUAGCUUAACCUUCGGGAGGGCGCUUACCACUUUGUGAUUCAUGACUGGGGUGAAGUCGUAACAAGGUAACCGUAGGGGAACCUGCGGUUGGAUCACCUCCUUA
rnacentral:rRNA from 1 species